GCUGGGUGUGGUGGUGGGCACCUGUAAUCCCAGCUACACGGGAGGCUGAGGCAGGAGAACCACUUGAACCUGGGAGGUGGAGGUUGCAGUGAGCUGAGAUCGUGCCACUGUACUCCAGACUGGGUGACAAAGUAAGACUCCGUCUCAAAAAAAAAAAAAAAAAGAUGUUCAUUUGUGUUUUAUUAUUUAUAAUAACAAAUAUAAAAUUUUUUUUUUAAGACGAAGUCUCCCUCUGUCCCCCAGGCUAGAGUACAGUGGUGCGAUGGCAGCUCACUGCAACCUCCACUUCCCAGGUUCAAGUGAUUCUCCUGCCUCA
rnacentral:SRP_RNA from 1 species